AUUGAACGCUGGCGGCAGGCCUAACACAUGCAAGUCGAGCGGAUGAAGGGAGCUUGCUCCUGGAUUCAGCGGCGGACGGGUGAGUAAUGCCUAGGAAUCUGCCUGGUAGUGGGGGAUAACGUCCGGAAACGGGCGCUAAUACCGCAUACGUCCUGAGGGAGAAAGUGGGGGAUCUUCGGACCUCACGCUAUCAGAUGAGCCUAGGUCGGAUUAGCUAGUUGGUGGGGUAAAGGCCUACCAAGGCGACGAUCCGUAACUGGUCUGAGAGGAUGAUCAGUCACACUGGAAGUGAGACACGGUCCAGACUCCUACGGGAGGCAGCAGUGGGGAAUAUUGGACAAUGGGCGAAAGCCUGAUCCAGCCAUGCCGCGUGUGUGAAGAAGGUCUUCGGAUUGUAAAGCACUUUAAGUUGGGAGGAAGGGCAGUAAGUUAAUACCUUGCUGUUUUGACGUUACCAACAGAAUAAGCACCGGCUAACUUCGUG
rnacentral:rRNA from 1 species